rnacentral:rRNA from 1 species
ACUCCUACGGGAGGCAGCAGUAGGGAAUCUUCCACAAUGGACGCAAGUCUGAUGGAGCAACGCCGCGUGAGUGAAGAAGGUUUUCGGAUCGUAAAGCUCUGUUGUUGGUGAAGAAGGACAAGGGUAGUAACUGAUUUUUGUUUGACGGUAAUCAACC